rnacentral:rRNA from 1 species
GUUGACCUCAGAUCAGGUAGGGAUACCCGCUGAACUUAAGCAUAUCAAUAAGCGGAGGA